rnacentral:rRNA from 1 species
GUGGGGAAUAUUGGACAAUGGGCGAAAGCCUGAUCCAGCAACGCCGCGUGAGGGAUGACGGCCUUCGGGUUGUAAACCUCUUUCAGCAGGGACGAAGCGCAAGUGACGGUACCUGCAGAAGAAGCACCGGCCAACUACGUGCCAGCAGCCGCGGUAAUACGUAGGGUGCAAGCGUUGUCCGGAAUUAUUGGGCGUAAAGGGCUCGUAGGCGGUCCGUCACGUCGGGAGUGAAAACUUGGGGCUCAACCCCAAGACUGCUUCCGAUACGGGCGGACUAGAGGUAGGCAGGGGAGAACGGAAUUCCUGGUGUAGCGGUGGAAUGCGCAGAUAUCAGGAGGAACACCGGUGGCGAAGGCGGUUCUCUGGGCCUUACCUGACGCUGAGGAGCGAAAGCGUGGGGAGCGAACAGGAUUAGAUACCCUGGUAGUCC